UACGUAGGGUGCGAGCGUUGUCCGGAAUUACUGGGCGUAAAGAGCUCGUAGGUGGUUUGUCGCGUUGUUCGUGAAAACCGGGGCUUAACCCUCGGCGUGCGGGCGAUACGGGCAGACUUGAGUACUGCAGGGGAGACUGGAAUUCCUGGUGUAGCGGUGGAAUGCGCAGAUAUCAGGAGGAACACCGGUGGCGAAGGCGGGUCUCUGGGCAGUAACUGACGCUGAGGAGCGAAAGCGUGGGGAGCGAACAGG
rnacentral:rRNA from 1 species